rnacentral:misc_RNA from 1 species
UCGAAUUACAGAGGAUUGAUGCUGACAGUCUUUAACUGUAUGUGCUCAUUCUCCUAAUCCACAUUACACUUGUGCACAUAUAUAACUUUUGAAGGGUAGGGUAGAACCUACCUUCGAAAUCUACAAGCUCUUGAUUUAUGAUUAUGAAUGUUUUGAUUGCUGCAAGGCAAAAUUUGAUA